rnacentral:rRNA from 1 species
UACGAAGGGGGCUAGCGUUGCUCGGAAUCACUGGGCGUAAAGGGUGCGUAGGCGGCUCUUUAAGUCAGGGGUGAAAUCCCGAGGCUCAACCUCGGAAUUGCCCUUGAUACUGGGGAUCUCGAGUCCGGAAGAGGUUGGUGGAACUCCGAGUGUAGAGGUGAAAUUCGUAGAUAUUCGGAAGAACACCAGUGGCGAAGGCGGCCAACUGGGCCGGCACUGACGCUGAGGUGCGAAAGCGUGGGGAGCAAACAGG